UACGUAGGGGGCGAGCGUUUGUCCGGAUUUAUUGGGCGUAAAGAGCGUGUAGGCGGCCAGGUAGGUCCGUUGUGAAAACUCGAGGCUCAACCUCGAGACGUCGAUGGAAACCAUCUGGCUAGAGUCCGGAAGAGGAGAGUGGAAUUCCCGGUGUAGCGGUGAAAUGCGCAGAUAUCGGGAGGAACACCAAUGGCGAAGGCAGCUCGCUGGGACGGUACUGACGCUGAGGAGCGAAAGCGUGGGUAGCAAACAGG
rnacentral:rRNA from 1 species